rnacentral:rRNA from 1 species
CCUACGGGGGGCAGCAGUGGGGAAUAUUGCACAAUGGGGGAAACCCUGAUGCAGCGACGCCGCGUGAGUGAAGAAGUAUUUCGGUAUGUAAAGCUCUAUCAGCAGGGAAGAAAAUGACGGUACCUGACCAAGAAUCCCCGGCUAACUCCGUGCCAGCAGCCGCGGUAAUACGUAGGGGGCAAGCGUUAUCCGGAUUUACUGGGUGUAAAGGGAGCGUAGACGGUUGUGCAAGUCAGAAGUGAAAGCCCGGGGCUCAACUCCGGGACUGCCUUUGAAACUGGGAAACUGGAGUGCAGGAGAGGUAAGCGGAAUUCCUGGUGUAGCGGUGAAAUGCGUAGAUAUCAGGAGGAACACCAGUGGCGAAGGCGGCUUACUGGACUGUAACUGACGUUGAGGCUCGAAAGCGUGGGGAGCAAACAGGAUUAGAUACCCGAGUAGUC